rnacentral:miRNA from 15 species
CAAUUAUGUGUAGUGCCAAUCU